rnacentral:lncRNA from 1 species
UGGGAUCCAAGUACUUUGCUUUGGAAUAGAGUUUGGAUGAUACCAUCUGAAUCAUUAUGGGGUUCAUCUAUAGUAGGGGAGCAAAUGAGCUUCUAAAAUCAAAAUUCUAAAACAGAUAUUGGUAGAAUCAAGUGGCUAAGUACUACCAACCAUUGCAAUUUGCUUAGAAAUCCAUGAGAAAAUAUCACAACUUGGUUUAGGGAAAAUUAGUACAUAAUGGUGUAGUCCAUCUAAAAAACCGAUCCAAGAACUAAUUACAAAUUACAACACCACAAGGAUGGACUGAACAACAGAGUUCAUUGUAACAGUUGGAUAGUGCAGGUAGCACUCACAGUUUACUAAUUUUUGACGGCUGUUUACUCAAGUGAUCAAGAGCUCAGACGCUGCUCUGUGACAUCAGAUCACCAUAGAUUCCAUAGCCUCUGUUAGCUUCACGGUCCUGUCAUUCACCUGAAAUAACAUGGGAAGUUAUUUAUGUUUUAAUAAUAUUACUAACCAAGAGAUGGUUAACAAUUAAGUUCUGAAUUUGGAGACCCACUGCCUCCUCCCACAAAUUAAAAGGACAUACGGGCAUGUCCAUCUUUUCUCAAGCCAACCUGUUCCAUCAAGUGUUUGUCUGCCUGCAAUUUUCAUUCGUUGUAGCAAGGAUCCGCAGGGGAGGCCCACACCCAUGUAUGUAAUGUAGUACUCGGUCACUCUGAAGAGCUGAAGUCAGUCCAAUCCAAAGCCCGUAUAAGGGUAGCUAUGCCAACAUCAGUGAAGUGCUACCAUUUGAACAGAUCGG